CCUUUCUUCUAUCUUCCGUCGCUGUAGCCUUUUUCUUCUUCCUCGUGCCGGCGCAGGCGCAGCUCAUUCCAGCUCUCCUCCCGUCUCCGCGCGGUGUUCCCGCUGCCGCUCCCGCGUUAACCCCGCGUCUCCAUUGCCCUGACCUGACCCUUCCCAUCUGGCGCUACCUCCAUUGCCUGCGACCGGCGGCGUCCCCGCCACCUCGUCGCCCCGCCCCAUGUCCACCGCCGCCACCAAGCGGGCAUGCCUCCCACGGAAAGUUACCAUGGAGAGGCUGCAACUGUAAAGGGAUUGCAUCGUCUUUGAUUAAAGCAAAGCGGCCAUCCAUCUGAUCUGUCAGUGUCUAUUUGAGAUUAGACUCCUUCCCUUGUCUUGUUGUUGCCCAAUCGCAGCUAAAACCUAGUCCCAUCCCUGCCAAGAUCGCCAUGGCCUCCGCCGACAACGUCCUCCUCCUCGUGCACCAGCUCCCCAUCGAUAUGGAGGGGCCCGACGAGGGUCGCCUGGCCCACCUCCUCCCCCCACUCCACCGCUCCCCUCCUCCGCCCCCUCCUCCGCCGUUCCGCCCGCCUCCCCCUCCCCAAGCCGCCGAGCCCCGCCUCUCUUUCCGCGGCUGGCUCGGCGCCCCGCGCCACUGGGACCUCUGGGUCGCCAAGCUCCGCCCCCUACACUCCCGCCUCUGGCGCCGCCUCGGCAUCCACGAUGCCGUCCUCGCCUCCACCUACAGGUUCAAGCGCGACGCCUCCGCCGUCCUCCACCUCGCCUCCUUCUGGUCCCCCACCACCAGCACCUUCACCUUCCCCUGGGCCGAGGCCACCCUCACCCUCCAGGACGUCGCCCUCCUCGCCGGAUUCCCCACCCACGGCGCCCCCGUCCCCGCGCCGCUCCCGCCCGAAUGGCGCCCCGACGAGGCCGCCCUCAACGGGGUGCGCCUCGGAUUCAACCGCAGCGCCUGCAAGAAGGCGCACCACUCCGCAUGGGUCAAGCACUUCCUCACCGAUCACAACAAUGACGCCGUCCUGGAGCACGCCGCCUUCCUCGCGCUCUGGCUCACGCGCUUCGUGCUCCCGGGCCACCCCGAGUCCACCAUGCGCCAGUCCGUCUUCCCCAUCGCCGUCCGCCUUGCGCGCGGCGACCGCGUCGCCCUCGCCCCCGCCGUGCUCGCCUCCCUCUACCGUGACCUGCGCGACAUCAAGGCCUUCCUCGUCGCUGCGGGUGCCGCCGCCGCCAGCGGCAACGCCGAUAUGCUGUGCUCCUUAUCCCUCUACGCGCCCCUCUACAUUCUCCAGCUCUGGAUGUGGGAGCGCUUUCCUUCUCUCAGUCCCGCAAGGAAUAACCCAGCUGUGAGCAAUGGCGAGCCGAUGGCCGCUCGGUGGCAUGAUCUAAGCAGCAAGGUGAACCCGACGCUGAUACGCGAGGCCCUCAGUUCAGGGGACAACUUUGUGUGGCAGCCUUAUGCCACCUCUGUGAUGAAGCACACCGGGUGGGUUCGCAGCAGUGAUCUCGCCGGGAAUGAUGAACUGAGAUCCCUCGCGCAUUGCUUGCGGCCUUGUGAGCUUGUGGGGAUGGAUUGCAUCGAGCACUACCUCCCACACCGCGUUGCAAGGCAGUUUGGACUGGACCAAGAUGUGCCCGGGGAUGUUCGCCGUGCCAAUCAGGAUUGGGCGGUUGCUUGGCAGACCUAUGAAUUGGACGGGAAGAAUGUGGCGUUCUUCAUCCCUCAGUCUGAACCUGGGAUCACAGCGCGGUACGCACAGUGGUGGAGGCAGCAAUUACCACCUUCUCAUCUUCAUGCUGAGGCAGCAAGCAUUCCAGUGGAGUGGAAGACUUCCAAGCGCAAGGUGAAAAAGACGCCAGCGGCCAUGGAAGCUGAGGCUGAGAAGGAGCGGAAGAUGAAGAAGGCUCGCGUCCCACCUAGUGACAAAAAGCGCAAGCUUGAAGAAUUGUAUGAUGCAAAGUUGUCGGAUUGGCUUGCAACUACAAGGAAUGGGAUCAGUGACACUGCUGGUGGCAGCUUCACAAGGGGAUCCUUACCAAAAUAUGACCUAGGAUCAGAUGACGCCUUGUUGCCUAAUGUUGGAGCUAGCAAUGAUGAUGUUGUGCUACUUAUGCCAAGGAUGCAGACUACAACUCCUGCUGCGAUGGCAUUGAGGGAUAGUGAUAUGAGCCCGGCUCUAGGAGAGAGAGGAAACUUCAUAGUUGAUAAGCCUCCAUAUAUCCCCAGUGAACCUGAAGGACAUGUUACUGCAACGCUGGAGGAGGAAAAACUUAAUAUUCCUGUGGACAGGUCUCUUAAUAUCACAGAUAGGCCAGAAGGAGCCACUGCGGUAAUGGAGUUGGAGAACGAAGCUAGUAGUGGAUCUGAUAGACCUGAAGAAGUUACUGCUCCAGUCAUAGAAGAGAAAGAAGUUGCCAUAGAGGGAGAUAUUUGCGUUACCGGGAUGUAUCAAUUGGAAAAGACCAUAGCAAUUGUAAAGGAAGCAGAUGACGGUGAUGCAGUUUCAGAAGAAGUUGGAAGACCUGCCGAGGAAGCAAUUAAAGCUGCACCACAGAACCAACAAGAAGUUGAUGCAGGUGUUAUGAACAAUUCCCAUGAUGCACUGGCUUUACCUGAGGAGCCACUUCCAGUUCAGCAAACAAAUAAUGGUGGUGGAUGUAGCGAGGUGUCUUACGUAACGGAAGAUGACAAUGUUGCUGGAGGUUUGGUCACAAAUGAUGGAGAAACUACAUGUCGUGAUUUUGUUGUUCAGGACCAGAGGGAGGUUCCUUGUGUAGAAGAGAUUGGAAGAAGGGUAAACAAUCAAAUGGUUGACAAAGGUAGUGAGGAAAAGCCCCAGGAAGCUCCUCAAAUAGAGAUAGUAGAAUCUGUAGAAGACAUUCUUAUGGGAACAGACAAUGACGGUGAGCAAAAGAUAGUUCAGCUAACAGUGGAGGAAGUAGCAACUUCCAAUUGUAUGGCUGCAACUCCUCUUCAUGUUCUUGAAGCAGAAAAUGCAUUAGUCAAUAAAGAUCUUAAUCUGGCAGACAAACAAGCUGCAGAAGGAGAGGAAGCAGAACAGGAGCAAAUUAAUACUUUGGCAAAGGUAGGUGCAGAGGAGGAGCACAAGGAAAUUUCUGAAGUAGAUCACGCAGACAUGGCAGAUCCUAAGAUGCAUUCACACUUUACUACUGAGAAGCCUGAGAAAGCUGCUGAAAUAGAAUGUGCAGAAAUUGAUGGCACUACAAGACUAACUGGGAGGGAUACUGAUGGGAAGCUUGUAGAUGUUCCUGAAGUUGGGCAUGAAGAAGAAAAUGUUAAGGGGCUGAUAGUGAACGCCAGUGAUGAGAAGCUUGCAGAAGUUUUGCAAGUAUCGCCUGCAGAAGUGGAAGAUGUGAAGGGUUUGAUGAAAGAGGACACUAGCAACAAAUCUAAGGAUGUUCCUGAAUUGGAAAAUACAGGAUCUGAAGGAACUCAUGGUCCAAUGGAGGAGGAUUCUGAUGGUCGGCGAGCGGAAAUUCAUGAUGUCAAUGCAGAACUGGAAAAAGCCAAUGGGCAUGAGAGGGAUGGUGAUAGGCCCAAGGGCAUCCUGCAAGUAGAUCUACUAAGAAGGGAUGAAGACAGGUGGCUGGCGAAGGAAGAAAUUGAAGAAAAUACUACAAAAGUUCCUCAAGUAAAGUAUGAAAAAUUAAGAGUUGAGGCACCAAUAAAAGAAGAUACCAAGGAAAAGCCCCAUGCAGAUGGCAAGGAUCUACCAGAGAAAGACAUAAAUGAGUCCAAAGAGGUUGACGAAUUGAAACAAGGAGAAGGGGAGGGAUGCAAGGUGUUAAUGGAGAAAGACGAGGAGAACUUUUAUGAUGCUCGUGGAGUAGAACAGGCAGAAGAAGGACAACACAAAGCAUUGACAGAGAAAGAUGUACAUAACCAUGUUGAGGAAAUUACUCUAGUGGGGCAGGUGGAUGACCAAAGUGAUAGGCUUACAAGGAUACGUACUGAGGAAAUUCCUGAAGAAACCACUCGAACACAGGAAAGGGAGUUUGAUAAGGAUGUGGUGGAAGAUUCAAAGAAUUCAACCAAUGCUGAGAUGCCAUGUAGUUCAGCUACUGUACAAUUGAAAAGAGAUCAGAUGGAAGUUUCUCAUGAAGGCAUGACAGAGGAGCUAUGCAUUCAGAACGUUGAACUGAUUAAUCAGAGGGAACCAUCAUGUGAUGCAACUGCUAUGGCCAUUGGAGGAGUAUAUGACCACAAAACCUUGGAUAUGCAUGAGGAAGUGGCUCUGAAACAGAAACAGGACCACAGAAUCAUACGCGAGAACAGGGAGACAACAAUAUUGGAAGGCAGUCAUAUGCUAGAUAGUGAAGUGAAAUCUGAUUUGGUUACUCCGAAGGGUGAUGAAACUCAUGCUGCAGGAGGAAUUCAAAACCAGGAAAUUUGGGACGAGAACAAGCAACUAGCAAUGGAGGAAAGACAAGAUCUAGAAACGACAAUUAAAAACAACAAAACGAAUAUGUUGGAUGAUGCAGAUAGUCUUGUUUGUGGUGAAUAUCAAAUUGACUCAACUGUUACGGAUGUUAAUGAGGCCGAGUCUACCGAAGGAAUACAGGACCAAGAACUUUUGGACAAUAAGGAACAACUAGCAAUGGAGGAAAAACAAGAUCUAGGAAGUACAACUGAAAACAACAAAAUGAAUAUGUCAGAAGAUGCAGAUAUUGAUGUUCGUGGUGAAUAUCAAAUUGAUCCAGCUGGUACAGAGGUGAACGAGGUCGAGUCUACCAAAGGAAUACAGAAUCAAGAACUUUCGGACAACAAAGAAGACCAGGUAAUGGAGAAAAGAAUGGACUGUGAAAUAACAGUUGGAAGUGGAAUAUUUGUGGAAGAGUCCUAUAAACUUGGUGGUGGUGGAGUGGUUACCUUCGCGGUUGCUGUGGAUGUUAGUGAUUCAAUGCAAAUCAAGGAAUCUUGCAGCAUGGAGGAGGCAAGGGAGGACAGGCAGAACCAAGGAGUUGAACAUGCGAAUGAGAAGAGGAUUUUGGAAGACACAAGUAUGAUUGAUAGUGGUGAAUUGAAAUCUAUUUCAACUGUUGGGGAGGUUAACAUGGUUGGGUUAAGAGAGGGAACACCGAACCAGUGUGUUUUAAGUGUGGAGAAGGAAGCGGCAGUGCAGGAGAAGCAGGAUCAGGGAAUGGCAGAUGAAAACACAAGCAGAGAUUUGGCUGACAUGGAUGCACUUGAAUGUGGUGGAGUGAAACCUGAUGGAGGGGUGAAAAUGUUUCAUGAGACUAUUCUUACAGUAGAAGCUGUUAAAAUUUGUUCCGAGAACAAGCAAAAGGAAGCAGCCUUUGAAGAGCACAAUAUAACAGAAGUUGAAGGCUCUGAAUCAAAUCAAACUGCAAGAAAGGAGCCUGAAGGAGCUCUUCCUCCGGAGCCUGAAAACUUGGUAGAAGUGAAGCAAGAAAAUUUGGAGAAUGAAACAGAGAUGUCCAUCUGUAGGGAGAAUGAUGAAGCGUCUGGAAAAGAUCAGACCUCAGCAGAGAUUAAGAAUGAUAUUGGAUGGGCUGUAGAAUCAACAAAUAGCUAUGACAAGUUAGCUUCUGAUUCAUUAAACACAGCUUGUCAUGACCCCAUCAAACUUGGCAAGUCAAGUAAUGAAGAGGUUAAGAGAACACGAAACAGCAGGUCUAUGUAUCUAAAAGAUAUUAAAGAAUCCCUGGGAAAAAUUCGUUCUGAACCAUCAAACAGAGUACAGGCAACCAGUGUUGGGUAUUACUCUAAGCAUGCAGUUCAGGAACCAAUUUCAGUUUUCAAGGAUAUCAAAGUUCCUUCGCGUGACAGUGCAAGGGAUUUUGGAAGAGAUUGUGCACCAGAGUUGGUGGUUACAAGUCCACAAGAAGAGACUCCUCGAUGGAAACAAGAACAAUACGCACUUCAAAUUUUAGAAGAUGUGCAAAAUGCUCGAAUUAUUGAGAAAACUAGGAUGGAGAUGGAGAUCAGAAUACUGAAGGCACAAAUUGCUAGCAUGGAGAGACAAGUGAUGAACUUGGAUCACUUCUCUGAGGUGAAGUCCAGAUCAAAAAGGCACUGACCUAUUCAUAGUUUCAACAUGCAAGUGCUAGUUUUGCACAAAAUAUCCAUGUAGAGUUGUACAGCUUUAAUUUGUGAAAUAAACACCACUGCAUGCAAGUUCUCUCUCCUAUCUACUAACUUCUGAAGGUGAUACUUUCAGAGUCUCAACACUGUUCUAUAGUCUGAAUAUACCAGCAGCCAGCCAACUUUAUUUAAGGCCUUAAAACAAAAAGGAGAAAUAUCAAAAAAGGCUCAACCGCUUGUAUCAAUAGAGAUAGAGUGCGUUGAUCAAACAGGCACCACUAUGAGUUAACUUUCAGGAAUUGAAACUAAACAAGGACAGGAGCAGGAGCAGCAACUGCCCGGGCUGCUGGUGAUGAUGCUGCUGGCUUGCCCCGGCCCAUGGUGAACCCGCGUGUCCCGUCGGGCAUCCUUGGGCCCUGGGGAGGCUGCUUGGGGCUCAAUGGGCAUUUCUGGGAUGCCUGACGGGGGCUCAAUGGGCAUUUCUGGGAUGUCUGACGGGGGCUCAACGGAUCAAAAUGGCCGAUCAUGCCGGCAGGAGCAGACUGUGGGCUGUGCGGCGCUGCGAUGUGCAGCUUCCCUCGCCCUCUCGCCCAACCUUUCUUGGUACCAUUUUGGUGAUCCUCUGGCUGUCAGUCAGACAGAAACUUUUGAGUUAACUGAGUAACUGAAUACUGGAUGUUGUCACUAAAAGUUGGGUCAUCAGUUGCUUACAUGAGCCUCAGGUGAGUAGUCUGCUGUGGGGGAGUCGGAUGACAUCUGGGAGUGCGGUGAUUCAUCAUCAGAGCCGACAAAGUGGUCAAAAUCUGGCCGCUUCAGCCUCAUCACUGACUUGGGCUGCGAAAACAUCACGGAAUAGCAUGGAUAAAAAGGUAUGACUAUUUGUUACUGAAUAGAAUUCAUUUCUGUAUAUUACUAAUUUGCAAGGAGAGGGGAGCUUCCCGUACCGAGCGCCUGAGCACUGCACGAACACGGAGGCCUUUCCUCCAGUUCCGUUCAUCAUUUAGCUUCUCCACCUGACAGGAAAAGGUAAAUUAAAUUAGCAUACCUAUGGGUUAACUGUAUCCAAGAGCCAAUGAAAUUUGCAUUCCUGAAAUAAGUGGCGAGUGCUCAGUGGUAACUACUCACUGCUUUCUCAGCUUGCUGUGAGGUCUCGUACUCCACAAGUGCAUGCAUCUUUUAGGGGAAAAAAAUAGAACAGGUAAAAGAGACCUGAAUAUUUGCUAGAAAAAUAUUCACUGUUCUGAAUCUGAUACUUAAUCUGUACAAUCAACAUCUUGUGCUGAUAUUUCAACGCAUUGUGCAUUGAAUAGUUCAGUUGGGGAGAGAAUGUGAAAUACCUUGUUACUUACUAGCGUGUCUGACUUAGAAGCCCUUGCCGAGCUAGGCUCUUGUGGAUGGCAUAUCUUGAUGUUCUUCACACUGAUCAUCAGACAGACAUAAAAGGUUAAUGCACCCAAAUGUAAUGUGUUUUAAUCUGCCACUUUGAGGAAUAGUUUAUCUGUCUGACCUUCCGAUGACACCAAAGAUCUUCUCGAGGCUGUUUCUCGAGGAAUCCUCUGGCAAAUUCUCUGCUAUGAUCAUGCGGGACUGCAAAAACAAGAAUUUCAGUUCUGGAUUGUUAGAUGUGGAGUACUAUAGAGCAGAGAUGAGCACCUUUUAAAGCCACUGACCUGAAGUUCUUCCUUGUGUUUCUCAGUGAAUGGCUGCCUGCGCCGGACUUUCUUGCCGUCAUCACUGACAAUCUGCAGAGGGACACGAGAAUUUCAUGAUCCUACGAGAAGAGUGUUUCAUGUAUUGCAACUAGCAAGGGUUUGAGUAGCAGUGAGUAGCUUACAAGCUUUGUGGAGGUGCGAAGAGCCUUAACCAGCAUCUGGUUAGUUGUCCCAAGAGACUUUAUUUUCUUCCAGGAUGCAAUGACUGAUAAGGGAACUGACAAAACGCAGAAAAGAAGGAAAAGAAAUGUUACUGUAUUUCAGUAUGUAUUUUGAA